UACGGAGGGUGCUAGCGUUGUUCGGAAUCACUGGGCGUAAAAGGCGCGUAGGCGGCGCAACAAGUCACUUGUGAAAUCUCCGGGCUUAACCCGGAGCGGCCAAGUGAUACUGUCGUGCUAGAGUGCGGAAGGGGCUACUGGAGUUCUCGGUGUAGCGGUGAAAUGCGUAGAUAUCAGGAGGAACACCGAUGGCGAAGGCAGAUCUCUGGGCCGUAACUGACGCUGAGGAGCGAAAGCAUGGGGAGCGAACAGG
rnacentral:rRNA from 1 species